CCUACGGGAGGCAGCAGUGAGGAAUAUUGGUCAAUGGCCGGAAGGCUGAACCAGCCAAGCCGCGUGAAGGACGAAGGUGCCAAGCAUUGUAAACUUCUUUUGUCAAGGGACAAAAUCAGGCGCGAGAGCCUGACCGAGGGUACUUGAAGAAUAAGCAUCGGCUAACUCCGGGCCAGCAGCCGCGGUAAUACGGAGGAUUCGAGCGUUAUCCGGAUUUAUUGGGGGUAAAGGGUGCGUAGGGGGGCUGUUAAGUCAGCUGUGAAAGGCCGGGGGUCAACCCCGGGAAAGCGUUGGAGACUGGCUGUCUUGAGAUGAGGAGAGGUAAGCGGAAUGCGUAGUGUAGCGGUGAAAUGCUUAGAUAUUGCGAAGAACUCCGAUUGCGAAGGCAGCAUACUGG
rnacentral:rRNA from 1 species